UAGGGAAUCUUGCGCAAUGGGCAAAUGCCUGACGCAGCGACGCCGCGUGGGCGAUGAAGUUCUUCGGAAUGUAAAGCCCUGUCAGAGGGGAAGAAACUCCUUUAAGGGAAUAUCUUAAAGGACUGACGGUACCCUCAGAGGAAGCUCCGGCCAACUCCGUGCCAGCAGCCGCGGUAAUACGGGGGGAGCAAGCGUUGUUCGGAAUCACUGGGUGUAAAGGGUGCGUAGGUGGGUAGGCAAGUCAGAUGUGAAAAUCUUAGGCUUAACUUAAGACCUGCAUUUGAAACUGCCUGUCUUGAGUACGGGAGAAGGAAGUGGAAUUCCUGGUGUAGCGGUGAAAUGCGUAGAUAUCAGGAGGAACACCUGCGGCGUAGGCGGCUUCCUAGUCCGAUACUGACACUGAGGCACUAAAGCUAGGGGAGCAAACAGGAUUAGAUACCCUGGUAGUCCUAGCUAUAAACGUUGGGCACUAGGUGUUGGAGGUAUUGACCCCUUCAGUGCCGAAGCUAACGCAUUAAGUGCCCCACCUGGGGAGUACGGUCGCAAGGCUG
rnacentral:rRNA from 1 species